rnacentral:lncRNA from 1 species
CCUUAAGAGGCACCCCUGUCCUUUGAUGUCACCCUGGAGGCCCAGAGUAACUCUUCUGGAAGCCCCAUCAUGUCCAUGCCUGACAGCGUCCAUUGUUCCCUUUUCCCAGAGCCAAGAGCUGGGUAGAGCUGCAAGGACACCGCCUGCACAGGGUGCCCGGGGCUGGGCAUUACCUGCUGCAAUGACAACAUCUGGCUGGAAGGCAGAGAGCUGAUGGACCGUCGCUACGUCCCAGUCCAGCUGGGCCACUGUCACCCUGGGGCUGUCUAAGUUGGCAGUGAUGUCUGCCUCUAAUGAGAGGCCAUUGAGAAAGACAUUCCCUUGGAGCUGCUCGAGGACCCGGCUGUGAGGGUCGCUGAAGAUGUAUGCCCGGGGGCGGCACAUCUUGCAGAUGGCAAGGCCUGUGAGGCCGGCACCACUGCCAAGUUCUAGGACAGUCCUGGCGGGAGGAAAGGGGACCGUGUCUUCGACUGCACCAGGGUAAGCCUGCCUUGGUGCCCUGCCCUGUGCCCCGAGGUCACCUGUUAGUGAAGGCUGCUGGGUUCUCGAUGGCCCAUUCUGCAAGGCAGAGGGUGGCGUCCCAUGUGACCAGGCCUGUGGUACCGUGAGAGAUGAUGGCUGUGCUCUCGGAGAUUGUGACCGAGCCUCCCGAGGGCUGCACCAAGAGAGGGCGAGAGAGUCAGUCCAGCGAUCAGAAGGCAAGUGGCUUAGAAGACAAGUAGCCAUCCACCACAUGGCUGAAUAAACCAUGACAGGACCAAUCGCCACUCAGCAAUGAGAAGCAGCUAACUGUUGACAUACCAACAGCUUUCACGGGCCUCAAGAUUGUCACGUGGCAUGAAAGACACUCAUCUCAGGCCACACAGGAUUCCAUUCAUCGAACAUUCCUGAGACAACGGAAUUCUGGCGAUGGAGCACAGGAUGCUUCACAGUCUACGGCAAAGGACAGAACGUUGGUUGCUCGAGAGCCCGUCUUAAGUCUCCUAUGAGCUUCAAGCCAACACAACAGAGGGCAAACUCCAGGCUACCUGAUCCCUCAGCAAAGAUGCAGAUGGACACAGCGUUCUGGCCCCACGCAUCUGAAGUUCGUCUUAAGAUGUGUGAAAGCCUCAGCGCAUGAGCCAAUUCUGUGCAGUGCUCGACAUACAGAUGAGAACACUGAGGCACGAGGCACAGCCUGUGAUCUGGCCACCGCGCUCAGGAGGAGAUAGGGUCUCUCUCUCUGCCACCCA